AAAAUUGGCGGUAUUUAAAUCUAAUUAGGGGAACUUGUUUUUUAAAUGAUAAUCCGCAAGAUACCUUACUUUAUUUUUAAAUUUAUUUAUUGUCGUUAUCAGAUUAUUUUAAAAGAAAUAAAAUUUUCUUAAUUAUUAAUAAAUAUUUAUUUCAGAUCUUUAUGUAGUUUAUAAUAAAGUAAAAAUGAGUUACAAUAAUUUUUAUUUAUAAUGGAUAUUAAAAUGAAAUUUUUAAUUGAAAGUGGACUUAAUAGUAAUAAUGAAGAUUUUAUUAUUA
rnacentral:rRNA from 1 species